AUUUGCUCUCAGGGCGGCGUCUGUGGAGAGGACGGCUGUGGCGGCUCGCCGUUCGUCGCCGGGUACGGGGCAGGAGGGUCCUCCCCUUGGCUAUGGUCCUCCCUCCUCCCCCAGUCCCACGCCCUCUCUCCCACACCCCUCCUUGAAACCCUAGCCGCCACAACCGGUCGUCGCUGAUGCACUCCUCGAGGAGAAGCUAGAUCGGCGGAGCUCGUUUCCGGGCGCGCGGGAGGUGCGAUGGAGGCCGCAGGGCGAGAGGGAGGCCAUCCGGCGGCCACGGGAACAGGCCAUGCGCUGCCUCCUGGCCUCCCACCCAGUGUUUCUCCCAUGUCCAACACCAGCAGCUAGCUCCUCCCAAUUGCCUCGCCCCCUCCAGUAGCAGUAGCAGUAGCAGCAGCAGCAGCAGAGUCUCCACCACCACACCUUAACUCUGCCAGGCUGACCAUAAAUUAUGGUAAUGCUUUGUGAAAGUAUUUUUCUGUUGAUUUAGCCUCUGGUUCAGAUAAAGGAUGGCACAUCAUAUGAGAUAGUUUGCAUUGCGCAUUGGUUGAGGAUUGCAUGGCAGUUGGCGAGAGAAGAGGAUCAAAAGAACGAGAGGGGGCAAGAUUAUUUUAUGGUCUCCCGGAUUCUGUUUUAGUUUCAGUUUCUACUAGAUUGGUUGUUUAGCAAGAAUUCUUUCAUAGGAUUUGUGAAGAAGGAAGUUAGGGCUAUUCUAGCUGAAAAUAAUGGAGCAUGAAGUCGAUCAGGUGGGAUGAGCAUUUUUAUUGCAAGCCCAGAUGGUCAUGUUGUCAGUGGUGGAGUUGCUGCCCUGCUGGUGGCGGCAAGUCUUGUUGAGUCAAGCCCAGAAUGGUUGGUCAAAUAUUGAUAUUUCAUUGGCACCCCAACAUAGCUUCGGCUUGUGGGAUAUGAUGGCUAACUAUAAUAGGAGUCAUUGUGAGAGUAUGCUGAUGACACAUGCUCAAUCUAUGGCAACAACCAGUGGUCAUGGCCAUCGCAAUAGCAGCCAGCAUACCUACCAAAAUUUGCACCUUGUCCCAUUUGGUUCUCACCAAAAUCAGGUUCUGUGCAAUGGAAAGGAGCUUGGAACAAAUGAAACAAACGUCUGGAUGAUCAAUGAAGAAGCAAUGUAGAUGGGCUCAGAUACAUAUCAUCAUCUGAAGGUACCCUCUAUUUCUAAGAACUUUCUUGGGUAUAUUAAUGUUGUCCAGUACCAUAUUUGGACCAACCUUCUACCUUCCUAUCAAGUGUAGGAAACAUUGUGCGUGUAUGCGAAACCUAACGUCCUAUGUGAGCUUUCUAAUGCUCUUUUCCGUCUUCUUAACCUGGUCGUCACUAAUUCAUGUCAGUACAUAAUUCCCAAGGCAGAGCACUAAUUUUCGAAACAUGGGUUGUGUAGCUGUCCCAAAGUUUAUUUUAUACUGCAGCACUGACAGAUAAGUUUGCUGAUUUUGAUCAACAAAUUUCUUACCAGUGAUAUGUUAGGAUAUCAUAUGGGAAAAGUAUGGCUGCAGACAGUUGCAAAAUUGAUGAUGAUGGUGGAUAUAUUUUCUCCAAAUAUUUCCAGGAAAGUAAGGAGUUGAUUUUACCUUUUCCUCGUGCGGUUUCGUUCUUACUUUCCACCUGGGGAACCCACAUAUGGAUUUCAACAUAAUCGAUGUCGGAUUAAUGUUCAGUAUGACUGAAGCCUGGAUUUUUCAUCGCCACUAUAGAUAGAGCUGGAUAUAAUGGAAGGAUCAAGUUCAGAGUUGAUGACUUGUUGUUGGGUAUAUGUCAGUGUGCAUGUUGGUGCAACAGUGCAGUAAAUGUUUCCACUUCACUACUGCUGUUAUGUUAUUAUGCAACUAGAAAUUAUCCUUUUCAUCAUACAAUUCCACAGACUAAUAAGGAAGUUUUUUUUUAUUUUGUAUUGUGGGCAUCAGAUGGGCUUAAUUUACUUGCUUGCUCAAAUAUUACAUGACCUAUUGAACUUUGUGUCAGAUACAUAAUUCAGGUUUUUUAAAAUAUUGCUUUAAUUGAUCAGAUGUCUUGAGACAUCAAUACAUUUAUUAAUGAUAUUUGACCUGUCAUGUCAAAGUCAAGAAACAGAGAUCCAAAGAAGUAAGAGUUGAUUUUCAUCAUCUAUAGUUGUAUUUCUACUCUAGAUUUCAGUCUGCUGUCAAAAGUUCAGAGAUAUCCCUAUACUUUCUACCACACACUCUCUCUGACUUCCCUAAUGAUUUAAUUUUUCUUGGUCAUCUCUGCAGACAUCUAGAGCAUCCAUGGUGAUGAUGUUGUCCAUGUGAAAUCCUUGGUGAGGUUGGACGUCCCCAAGAGACACAUGGUCUCUAUUGACAUGAGAAGUAAAGCAUUGGAAGCAUUGGUACCUUAUGCUGCAACUAAACUGGAUGCCUACUGCCCCCACUUCCCCCUGCGUGUUGUUAAGUCAUCUGAGCGACAGUCCAGAAGAAAAUAAUACUGUGGAACCUUGGGAUGGGGGUCUGGGUUGAAGGUUGGUUCUUUUUGCUGAAGGAAACUUCUUCAUGGCUAAACCCUGACGGUGUUGACUCACCUUGCCUUUUGCAUCUUUCAAGUGACUAUGCAUUGCUAAAUCGAUGCGAACUACCGGCUAACAAAUAAAUAACUUGAUUGUGCAAUUCCAGCUUCAUAGUGAACCUUCUUUAUGAGGACUACUACAAUGGUUUGUCUUGAAUUUAACAGCUUUUUUUGUGCCUCGGCAAUGCAGAUUUGCCGGGGCUUGUACAAGCAAGUAACUCUGAGAAUGCGAAUGCAGCUCUGCCCCAAAUUUGUCAAGCAAGCCACUCUCAGAACAUAGCUGACAAUGAAUGCCUAAUCAGGCAAGUCUUAGUCCUUCGAGAGAACUUCCAUACUGUGAAGAUCUCCAUUGUUUCUUUUUUAAAUGACAGUUUGAGGAGAGUUGCAGCAAUACAAAGAGUAUUUGCAAGGCUAUUAGUAUUUUGCUUGAUUUGUUGAUUAAUCGUGCAAGAGUAUUGCUGAAGUAGUAGUAGUAGUAGUAGUAGUAGUAGUAGUAGUAGUAGUAGUAGUAGCAAUUUUCUAUGUACUUCAGCUCUAUUGCUUUUAGACAGGAUGGUUUUGUCAUCGUUUUUGAUCUGUUGCCUCAGUCUUUUGUUUCUCUUGUAUGUGUACUUCAAUAUUUAGUCAACAAAAACCUGAGCCCUGGAUUGUA